rnacentral:rRNA from 1 species
UACGAAGGGGGCGAGCGUUGUUCGGAUUUACUGGGCGUAAAGGGCGCGCAGGCGGCUCAUUUUGUCAGGCGUGAAAGCCCCGGGCUUAACCUGAGAACUGCGUUUGAUACGGAUGGGCUAGAGUUCGGGAGAGGAGAGUGGAAUUCCCAGUGUAGAGGUGAAAUUCGUAGAUAUUGGGAAGAACACCGGUGGCGAAGGCGGCUCUCUGGACCGAGACUGACGCUGAGGCGCGAAAGCGUGGGGAGCAAACAGG